ACUCCUACGGGAGGCAGCAGUGGGAAUAUUGCACAAUGGGCGCAAGCCUGAUGCAGCCAUGCCGCGUGUGUGAAGAAGGCCUUCGGGUUGUAAAGCACUUUCAGUUGUGAGGAAGGUGGUGUCGUUAAUAGCGGCAUCAUUUGACGUUAGCAACAGAAGAAGCACCGGCUAACUCCGUGCCAGCAGCCGCGGUAAUACGGAGGGUGCAAGCGUUGUCCGGAUUUAUUGGGUUUAAAGGGUGCGUAGGCGGGCUAUUAAGUCAGUGGUGAAAUCCAGCAGCUUAACUGUUGAUGUGCCAUUGAUACUGGUAGUCUUGAGUACAGAUGAGGUAGGCGGAAUUGACAGUGUAGCGGUGAAAUGCAUAGAUAUUGUCAAGAACUCCGAUAGCGAAGGCAGCUUACUGGGCUGUAACUGACGCUGAUGCACGAAAGUGUGGGGAUCAAACAGGAUUAGAUACCCUGGUAGGCUCUG
rnacentral:rRNA from 1 species